GGCGCUGUAGCUUAGCUGGUCAAAGCGCCUGCCUUGUAAACAGGAGAUCCUGGGCUCAAAUCCCAGCAAUGCCU
rfam:Danio rerio chromosome 4, GRCz11 reference primary assembly.